rnacentral:misc_RNA from 1 species
GAUGAAGAACGUAGCGAAAUGCGAUAAGUAAUGUGAAUUGCAGAAUUCAGUGAAUCAUCGAAUCUUUGAACGCACAUUGCGCCCGCCAGUAUUCUGGCGGGCAUGCCUGUUCGAGCGUCAUUUCAACCAUCAAGCCCCCGGCUUGUGUUGGGGACCUGCGGCUGCCGCAGGCCCUGAAAACCAGUGGCGGGCUCGCUAGUCACUCCGAGCGUAGUAAUAAAUCUCGCUCAGGGCGUGCUGCGGGUUCCGGCCGUUAAAAAGCCUUAUUUACCCAAGGUUGACCUCGGAUCAGGUAGGAAGACCCGCUGAACUUAAGCAUAUCAAUAAGCGGAGGA